rnacentral:lncRNA from 1 species
CGGAGCCGGCACGGGCCGAGGGGAGAGAGUCUGCGGCUGAGAUGCAUGGCAAGGGCUCUCCAGUUCCUGCGGUUCUGGACUGCAGAGGAGGCGGGCACAGGCCGUAAGAUGAGCGAGGACAUGGCCUGAGCUGGUAGGAGGGGUCCUGCUGGGAUCUCUGGCACAAACUUGGCUUAAACAAAAGUAUACACAUUCAUUUUGGAAACUGAACUGUUUAUUAUAGAAAUAAAAUAUUUUAAGAUUCUUUGAGGGGAAAGGGACAGGAGACCCUGGGAAGAGCAGGUGCCUCCCCUCCAGGCAGCCCACCAGGCCUGCUCCCUUUCUGCUGGCCUCUGAGGCCUCACGUGUGGGGACUGGCAUGAGGCCCACUGGGGAGGAGAGAAACCUUGGAGCUCGGAGGAAGGAAACUGCGAUGAAGCCUGAGUCCCUGUCCCGAAGGGGUCCUGACACACUGGGCCCCGCCCUGAGUCCAUGACUGGCCUCCCUUUGUGAGGAGAGCAGGCCCUGCAUCAUCAGGCCACCAGACUCCUUCCAGCCUCCUGCACAUUUCAGCUGGGCACUGCGGUAGCUGCAUGGAGACCCACAGAACCCACCCUCAGAACAGCGCCUGAUGAGAAGGCCGGGCCUGCAUUCCUCCACACCAAGCCAGGCGCCCGGAAGGAGGCAAACAGCAGCAUUGCCUAUUCAUUGGCCGAUGUCUUCCUUGGUUCUCUUCCUUGGUGAAAACCGCUUUUACAGCAUCUGGUGCCAGAUCUUUGAGAACCGCCACCCCAGCCCGUACCUCUGAGGCAAACCACACUGAGCAGCGGACUGCAGGCCUGCGAGCAAGGCUACAGGAGAAAUUUUAAACGCUGCAGAACUUCCACCAAGUAAGUCACGUGUGUCAUCAUGUGAUCAUC